AGAGUUUCCUACUGGGUCUCCACUGGGUCACCCACUGGAGCAAGCCUCAUUCAACCAGAACAGGCUGCCUUUCAUGGCCCCACAGAUCUGCCAUAAGCACAACAUUUAACGUGAAGAGAAAAAGCAAUGAAGGAAAAUCCCAGGGUACAAGCAUCAUUCCGUAUAGUGCACAGUUGUGUUUGACUUUUCUGGGGACCUUUCUUAAGAAGGAGUAAAUUGUUUUGCUCCAGCUCUGCAGAGAGAGCCACGUACGUGUCACUGAGGCGUAAGGAGAAUGUGACAAGAACUUUGUUCUUUUACUAAUUCUGACCUCAGAAUCAAAUCAGCUGCCCUCGUGAAUCGUAUCUCUCCAACUGCAUCUUGGCAAGGUAAGGGAAUUUGGCUGCAAUGAAGAGUGAAGGAUUUUUGCAUCUUCCAACUUCAGAAUAGCAAAGAGAGCGCGGAGGCAGAUGGAUGAGAUGAAGAAAUGGCACCCAACUCUGGAUUUGAACAUCUCUUAGACAAGAGGUGGGGGGAAAUAACAAGCCGAGAUAGAAAAGAUUACAGGAGUAAUUCAUCAGCGAAUGUUUCACUCGGCGGUCUCAUCUAAUGUAAGGAAACAUAAAAAUGAAUUUUUCCAAUU
rnacentral:lncRNA from 1 species